CACAAUGGGCGCAAGCCUGAUGCAGCCAUGCCGCGUGUAUGAAGAAGGCCUUCGGGUUGUAAAGUACUUUCAGCAGUGAGGAAGGUGGGUAUGUUAAUAGCAUAUUCAUUUGACGUUAGCUGCAGAAGAAGCACCGGCUAACUCCGUGCCAGCAGCCGCGGUAAUACGGAGGGUGCGAGCGUUAAUCGGAAUUACUGGGCGUAAAGCGCAUGCAGGUGGUUUGUUAAGUCAGAUGUGAAAGCCCGGGGCUCAACCUCGGAAUUGCAUUUGAAACUGGCAAACUAGAGUACUGUAGAGGGGGUAGAAUUUCAGGUGUAGCGGUGAAAUGCGUAGAGAUCUGAAGGAAUACCGGUGGCGAAGGCGGCCCCCUGGACAGAUACUGACACUCAGAUGCGAAAGCGUGGGGAGCAAACAGGAUUAGAUACCCUGGUAG
rnacentral:rRNA from 1 species